UCGCAUUAUGCAAUGCACCAUAACGCGAUCGUUGAGCCACUUCAAGUAAGUAUCUCUAACCGCAUCACGAGUAUUAGGAGAGGGCUCCUCAGGUGUCAGAUCUGUAAUCACAUACAAAAUUUGCUCAUGUGACAGGAUGAUUUUGAGUUUUCGAUAUUAGUUAUCGAAAUUAAGUCUCGUCAACUUCUCACUAUCCAACA
rnacentral:lncRNA from 1 species